rnacentral:lncRNA from 10 species
AGGCCAUUUUCACUUCUUUUGUGAUUCUUCACUUGCUUCAGGCCAUCUGGAUGUAUACAUGCAGGUCACAGGGGAUAUGAUGGCUUAGCUUGGGCUCAGAGACCUGAUAUUCCUGUCUUCUUAUAUUAAUAAGAAAAAUAAAAUGAAAUAGUGGUGAGUUCUUUCAACUGUCACAACAGGCUUAUGAAGUUAAUACUAUUUUUAUCUGUAUUUUACAGGUGAGGAAUGUAAGAUCUGGGGAGUUAAGAUCAUGCCCACAGUCAUCUAGAGGGUAUCUCUGUGAAGCAAGACAAGGUCAUCCUCCACAUCCUCCGCAUGAAUUGACCUCCCCCAAACUUGGGGCCUAACUGUCCAGCUGAGCUCAUAUAUAGCUUGGUCUGGAGAGCUGCCUCAGACUCUCCAAUGGAUCUAUUCAAACAGCUGCCUCUGUUACCUUGACUCGUCUCAGAUUUCGUCGAACUGAGACAGGUCCUGGCACUAGGAAUGGGAUCAUCUUCAUGCUGAGUCUUGGACACCAACCUGAAUUCUCCUACAGAGAAACUGGACAUCUGCUCUUGAUGGGGUGUAGUGGAUAAGGCAUAGCACCUGUGAUCAGGAGAUCUAGAUCUGAGUCUCAGUUGUGACACUUUUUUCUGUGUUACCUUGGGAAAGUUAUUUACCCUCUCUGAGCCUCAAUUUCCUCACUAAAAGGGGAUCAUGGUACCAACAUGUGUUAAAAGAGUAUUAAAUGAG